GACGAACGCUGGCGGCGUGCCUAAUACAUGCAAGUAGAACGCACAGUUUAUACCGUAGCUUGCUACACCAUAGACUGUGAGUUGCGAACGGGUGAGUAACGCGUAGGUAACCUGCCUGGUAGCGGGGGAUAACUAUUGGAAACGAUAGCUAAUACCGCAUAAUAUUAAUUAUUGCAUGAUAAUUGAUUGAAAGGUGCAAUUGCACCACUACCAGAUGGACCUGCGUUGUAUUAGCUAGUAGGUGAGGUAACGGCUCACCUAGGCGACGAUACAUAGCCGACCUGAGAGGGUGAUCGGCCACACUGGGACUGAGACACGGCCCAGACUCCUACGGGAGGCAGCAGUAGGGAAUCUUCGGCAAUGGACGAAAGUCUGACCGAGCAACGCCGCGUGAGUGAAGAAGGUUUUCGGAUCGUAAGCUCUGUUGUAAGAGAAGAACGGGUGUGAGAGUGGAAAGUUCACACUGUGACGG
rnacentral:rRNA from 1 species